AUUGAACGCUGGCGGCAAGCUUUACACAUGCAAGUCGAACGGUAACAGGUUAAGCUGACGAGUGGCGAACGGGUGAGUAAUGCAUCGGAACGUGCCCGAUCGUGGGGGAUAACGCAGCGAAAGCUGCGCUAAUACCGCAUACGAUCUGAGGAUGAAAGCGGGGGACCGGAAGGCCUCGCGCAAUCGUAGCGGCCGAUGUCAGAUUAGGUCGUUGGUGGGGUAAAGGCUCACCAAGCCAACGAUCUGUAGCUGGUCUGAGAGAACGACCAGCCACACUGGGACUGAGACACGGCCCAGACUCCUACGGGAGGAAGCAGUGGGGAAUUUUGGACAAUGGACGAAAGCCUGAUCCAGCAAUGCCGCGUGCAGGAAGAAGGCCUUCGGGUUGUAAACUGCUUUUGUACGGAGCGAAAAGGCUCUCUCUAAUACAGGGGGCUCAUGACGGUACCGUAAGAAUAAGCACCGGCUAACUACGUGCCAGCCGCCGCCGUAA
rnacentral:rRNA from 1 species